GGGAAUCUUUGCACUACUGUCUAUACGAGUGGUAAACGGUUAAUCUAGACUAGAUUUGGACGGAUUAAAAUAGAUUGAAUCAAUCAGUGAAUCAUUGUCUAAAUUUAUCUAAUAUUUAUUUGGGCUAAAACGAAAUGGAGUAAGAUGAGCUAAAUAAUUGAUCAUAACAUAAUCCUUCCAACUCUUACCAAUUUUUUAUUUCUUUGUUC
rnacentral:lncRNA from 1 species